rnacentral:rRNA from 1 species
UACGUAGGGUGCGAGCGUUGUCCGGAAUUAUUGGGCGUAAAGGGCUCGUAGGCGGUUUGUCGCGUCGGGAGUGAAAACCAUGGGCUUAACUCAUGGCUUGCUUCCGAUACGGGCAGACUAGAGGUAUGCAGGGGAGAACGGAAUUCCUGGUGUAGCGGUGAAAUGCGCAGAUAUCAGGAGGAACACCGGUGGCGAAGGCGGUUCUCUGGGCAUUACCUGACGCUGAGGCACGAAGGUCAGGGGAGCAAACGGG